rnacentral:rRNA from 1 species
AUUGAACGCUGGCGGCAUGCCUUACACAUGCAAGUCGAACGGUAACAGGUUAAGCUGACGAGUGGCGAACGGGUGAGUAAUAUAUCGGAACGUGCCCAGUAGUGGGGGAUAGCCCGGCGAAAGCCGGAAUAAUACCGCAUACGACCUACGGGUGAAAGCGGGGGACCGAAAGGCCUCGCGCUAUUGGAGCGGCCGAUGCCCGAUUAGGUAGUUGGUGAGGUAAAGGCUCACCAAGGCGACGAUCGGUAGCUGGUCUGAGAGGACGACCAGCCACACUGGGACUGAGACACGGCCCAGACUCCUACGGGAGGCAGCAGUGGGGAAUUUUGGACAAUGGGGGAAACCCUGAUCCAGCCAUGCCGCGUGCGGGAAGAAGGCCUUCGGGUUGUAAACCGCUUUUGGCAGGAACGAAACGGCGCGCGCCAAUACCGCGCGCUAAUGACGGUACCUGCAGAAUAAGCACCGGCUAACUACGUGCCAGCCGCCGCCGUAA